rnacentral:rRNA from 1 species
AUACGGAGGGUGCAAGCGUUAAUCGGAAUUACUGGGCGUAAAGCGUACGUAGGCGGUUAUUUAAGUCAGAUGUGAAAGCCCCGGGCUUAACUUGGGAACUGCAUUUGAAACUGGGUAACUAGAGUUUAGUAGAGGGGAGUGGAAUUUCAGGUGUAGCGGUGAAAUGCGUAGAGAUCUGAAGGAACACCAGUGGCGAAGGCGACUCCCUGGACUAAAACUGACGCUGAGGUACGAAAGCGUGGGUAGCAAACAGCAUUAGAUACCCCAGUAGUCC